rnacentral:rRNA from 1 species
GACGAACGCUGGCGGCGUGCCUAAUACAUGCAAGUUGAGCGCUGAAGGUUGGUACUUGUACCAACUGGAUGAGCAGCGAACGGGUGAGUAACGCGUGGGGAUCUUCCUUUUAGCGGGGGGCAACAUUUGGGAACGAAUUCUUAUACCGGAUUAAAAAUUUAAACACAAGGUUUAAGGUUUAAAAAUUCAAUUUCAUUACCCAAAGGUUAUUCCGCGUUUUAUUAGCUAGUUGGUGAGGUAAAGGCUCACCAAGGCGAUGAUACAUAGCCGACCUGAGAGGGUGAUCGGCCACAUUGGGACUGAGACACGGCCCAAACUCCUACGGGAGGCAGCAGUAGGGAAUCUUCGGCAAUGGACGAAAGUCUGACCGAGCAACGCCGCGUGAGUGAAGAAGGUUUUCGGAUCGUAAAACUCUGUUGGUAGAGAAGAACGUUGGUGAGAGUGGAAAGCUCAUCAAGUGACGGUAACUACCCAGAAAGGGACGGCUAACUACGUG